rnacentral:rRNA from 1 species
GAUGAACGCUGGCGGCGUGCCUAAUACAUGCAAGUCGAGCGAACAGACGCGGAGCUUGCUCCUCUGACGUUAGCGGCGGACGGGUGAGUAACACGUGGAUAACCUACCUAUAAGACUGGGAUAACUUCGGGAAACCGGAGCUAAUACCGGAUAAUAUAUUGAACCGCAUGGUUCAAUAGUGAAAGACGGUUUUGCUGUCACUUAUAGAUGGAUCCGCGCCGCAUUAGCUAGUUGGUAAAGUAACGGCUUACCAAGGCAACGAUGCGUAGCCGACCUGAGAGGGUGAUCGGCCACACUGGAACUGAGACACGGUCCAGACUCCUACGAGAGGCAGCAGUAGGGAAUCUUCCGCAAUGGGCGAAAGCCUGACGGAGCAACGCCGCGUGAGUGAUGAAGGUCUUCGGAUCGUAAAACUCUGUUAUUAGGGAAGAACAAAUGUGUAAGUAACUAUGCACGUCUUGACGGUACCUAAUCAGAAAGCCACGGCUAACUACGUG